AUUGAACGCUGGCGGCAGGCCUAACACAUGCAAGUCGAGCGGAUGAAGGGAGCUUGCUCCUGGAUUCAGCGGCGGACAGGUGAGUAAUGCCUAGGAAUCUGCCUGGUAGUGGGGGAUAACGUCCGGAAACGGGCGCUAAUACCGCAUACGUCCUGAGGGAGAAAGUGGGGGAUCUUCGGACCUCACCCUAUCAGAUGAGCCUAGGUCGGAUUAGCUAGUUGGUGGGGUAAAGGCCUACCAAGGCGACGAUCCGUAACUGGACUGAGAGGAUGAUCAGUCACACUGGAACUGAGACACGGUCCAGACUCCUACGGGAGGCAGCAGUAGGGAAUAUUGGACAAUGGGCGAAAGCCUGAUCCAGCCAUGCCGCGUGUGUGAAGAAGGUCUUCGGAUUGUAAAGCACUUUAAGUUGGGAGGAAGGGCAGUAAGUUAAUACCUUGCUGUUUUGACGUUACCAACAGAAUAAGCACCGGCUAACUUCGUG
rnacentral:rRNA from 1 species